rnacentral:rRNA from 1 species
CGCGCAGGCGGUCCGAUGAAGUCGGAUGUGAAACCCGGGGCUCAACCCUGGGCCUGCAUCCGAUACUGGCGGGCUGGAGGCAGGUAGGGGAGAGCGGAAUUCCCGGUGUAGCGGUGAAAUGCGCAGAUAUCGGGAGGAACACCGGUGGCGAAGGCGGCUCUCUGGGCCUGUCCUGACGCUCAGGCGCGAAAGCUAGGGGAGCAAACA